AUACGGGGGGAGCAAGCGUUGUCCGGAAUUACUGGGCGUAAAGGGCGUGUAGGCGGCUUGAUAAGUCAGAUGUGAAAGCCUUCCGCUUAACGGAAGAACUGCAUUUGAAACUGUCGGGCUUGAGUGCGAGAGAGGGUAGUGGAAUUCCCAGUGUAGCGGUGAAAUGCGUAGAUAUUGGGAAGAACACCAGUAGCGAAGGCGGCUACCUGGCUCGUAACUGACGCUAAGGCGCGAAAGCGUGGGGAGCAAACAGAAUUAGAAACCCCAGUAGUCC
rnacentral:rRNA from 1 species